rnacentral:rRNA from 1 species
UGCAGUCGAGCGAGAAGUGACUUCGGUCGCGAGUAAAGCGGCGAACGGGUGAGUACAACGUGGAUAAUCUACCCUAGGGUCUGGGACAACCCCGAGAAAUCGGGGCUAAUACCAGAUAAGACCACAGUAUCCAAGGAUACAGCGGUAAAAGAUUUAUCGCCUUUGGAUGAGUCCACGCCCCAUCAGGUAGUUGGUAAGGUAAAGGCUUACCAAGCCUAAGACGGGUAGCCGGCCUUAGCGGGUGAACGGCCACAUGGGGACUGAGACACGGCCCUGACUCCUACGGGAGGCAGCAGUGGGGAAUAUUGGGCAAUGGGCGAAAGCCUGACCCAGCGAUGCCGCGUGAGGGAUGAAGGCCUUCGGGUUGUAAACCUCUGUCAGGAGGGACGAUGGGACACUUGUGUCUUGACGGUACCUCCAGAGGAAGCCCCGGCUAACUCCGUGCCAGCAGCCGCGGUAAUACGGAGGGGGCAAGCGUUGCUCGGAAUUACUGGGCGUAAAGGGUCCGCAGGCUGUCAGGCAAGUUGGUUGUGAAAUCCCAAGGCUUAACCUUGGAAUUGCAUCCAAAACUGCCUGACUAGAGUCCAAGAGAGGUUGGCGGAAUUCCCGGUGUAGCGGUGAAAUGCAUAGAUAUCGGGAGGAACACCAGAGGCGAAGGCGGCCAACUGGCUUGGUACUGACGCUCAGGGACGAAAGCGUGGGUAGCAAACCGGAUUAGAUACCCGGGUAGUCCGCGCCCUAAACGAUGGAUGCUAGGUAGGGGGAAUUUAAUUCUCCCUGCCGUAGUUAACGCAUUAAGCAUCCCGCCUGGGGAGUACGGUCGCAAGGCUGAAACUCAAAGGAAUUGGCGGGGGCCCGCACAAGCGGUGGAGCACGUGGUUUAAUUCGAUGCUAAGCGAAAAACCUUACCAAGACUUGACAUGUUAACUUAAGCCUAUACGAAAGUAUGUGGUGGUUCCCGGGCUUGCCCGGAACAGUUAUCACAGGUGCUGCAUGGCUGUCGUCAGCUCGUGCCGUGGGGUGUCCGGUUAAGUCGGUAACGAGCGCAACCCCUAUCUUUAGUUGGCAUCCACUUCUGGUGGGCACUCUGAAGAAACUGCCAGCGACAAGCCCGGAGGAAAGAUGGGG